rnacentral:rRNA from 1 species
CGCGUAGGCGGUGUAUCAAGUCGCAUGUGAAAUACCAGGGCUCAACUCUGGGGGGUCAUGCGAAACUGGUAUACUUGAGUGCAGUAGAGGGAAGCGGAAUUCCUGGUGUAGCGGUAAAAUGCGUAGAGAUCAGGAGGAACACCGGUGGCGAAGGCGGCUUCCUGGGCUGUAACUGACGCUGAUGCGCGAAAGCGUGGGGAGCAAACAGGAUUAGAUACCCUGGUAGUCCAUGCUGUAAACGAUGAAUACUAGGUGUAGGGGACGCAGGUCUUCUGUGCCGGAGCAAACGCAAUAAGUAUUCCGCCUGGGAGUACGGCCGCAAGGUUGAA